GGCCCAAAUUUUUGAAGUGAAAGGGCUCAAGUAAACAAAAGGUGAUCUGGACGCCCAGGCUCUUUCCUUUGAGCCAAAAUCAAGCCCAGCUGUAUCAAAACAUUGAUUAUCACAUGUGCUUGAUCUCCAGCGUAGAGUCAGAUUGAGCAUCUAGGUCGACAGUUAGACGAACGACUGGUGUGCGAAGUUGGCGUGACCCAUUUUGAUCUUGUAUAUAGCUUGUUGUCCUAUUUGCUAUCACACCACCGCUUCAAUUAAAAAAACAAAGACCAAAAAAACAAGGGUGAGGCUUCAAUCAUUUUGCUUGAUGUGAUUGGUACUUUGUAUGGUUUGCUUUGGAGGUGGUGGUUUAUGAUAGUCGAUGGGAGACAGAAGGCUGGGAGGCUCUUUAGUUGUGGCGGGUAUUUCUGUUUUUCAAAGAGGGUGAAUGUGGAGAGUGAUCGGAACUCGGCCAUUAGUGACACUAUGUUCGAAUGCUGGAAUUUGCAGCAGCCAGGAUUGUAUUAAGACGUCGGCCGUUCAUGAACGACCAUGUUAGUCUUAAUGCAGGAGGAGAUCCCAAUGGAAUGUGGCCGUUCAUGAAUGACUAUGGUUGUUUUCAAAAGGAUAUGGGUUGUUCAUGAACAGCCCUCCUUUUGUUUGAAGCAAGCUUUUCAGUUCUUUGUCAAAGAAGACAAGAAUAGCAUGACGUGGUGUAUACCUGGGCUUCUCCCCUGCAGCUUGGCUUGUCGUCACUGUUUAUCUCGACAGAAUUUCAACAAUUAAUUGUUGCUUCUUUUUUGACCCUCUGGUUCGGCAAAGCUUUAGCUUUUACUUGCUGAUUUCUUCCUCCUCUCCGUGUAUCUUUUGUAUUUCUCCUCCCCCGAAUUAUUGUUAAAAGCCUCAUUUUAUAUGCAACGUAGAAGGAUAAGAGAUCAUGUUGGUUGAGUUCAAUUUGUUUUGAAAUUGAAAUGAUCUUCGGAUGACGAUAACCACCUCCACAUUCAAAUUUGUAU